rnacentral:rRNA from 1 species
CGGCGACCGGCGCACGGGUGAGUAACGCGUAUCCAACCUUCCGUACACUCAGGGAUAGCCUUUCGAAAGAAAGAUUAAUACCUGAUAGUAUGGUGAGAUUGCAUGAUAGCACCAUUAAAGAUUUAUUGGUAAACGAUGGGGAUGCGUUCCAUUAGGUAGUAGGCGGGGUAACGGCCCACCUAGCCGACGAUGGAUAGGGGUUCUGAGAGGAAGGUCCCCCACAUUGGAACUGAGACACGGUCCAAACUCCUACGGGAGGCAGCAGUGAGGAAUAUUGGUCAAUGGGCGAGAGCCUGAACCAGCCAAGUAGCGUGAAGGAUGAAGGUCCUACGGAUUGUAAACUUCUUUUAUACGGGAAUAAAGUAUCCUACGUGUAGGAUUUUGUAUGUACCGUAUGAAUAAGCAUCGGCUAACUCCGUGCCAGCAGCCGCGGUAAUACGGAGGAUGCGAGCGUUAUCCGGAUUUAUUGGGUUUAAAGGGAGCGCAGACGGGAGAUUAAGUCAGUUGUGAAAGUUUGCGGCUCAACCGUAAAAUUGCAGUUGAUACUGGUUUCCUUGAGUGCAGUUGAGGCAGGCGGAAUUCGUGGUGUAGCGGUGAAAUGCUUAGAUAUCACGAAGAACUCCGAUCGCGAAGGCAUU